AGAGUUUGAUCAUGGCUCAGGACGAACGCUGGCGGCGUGCCUAACACAUGCAAGUCGAACGGGGUGAGGCCCUUCGGGACCUUUACCUAGUGGCGAACGGGUGAGUAACGCGUGAGGAACCUGCCUUUCAGUGGGGGACAACAGUUGGAAACGACUGCUAAUACCGCAUGAAGCUUUUGGGAGACAUCUCCUGAAGCCAAAGCUUAAUGUGCUGAAAGAUGGCCUCGCGUCUGAUUAGCUAGUUGGUGGGGUAACGGCCCACCAAGGCGACGAUCAGUAGCCGGUCUGAGAGGAUGAACGGCCACAUUGGGACUGAGAUACGGCCCAGACUCCUACGGGAGGCAGCAGUGGGGAAUAUUGGGCAAUGGGCGAAAGCCUGACCCAGCAACGCCGCGUGAAGGAAGAAGGCCUUCGGGUUGUAAACUUCUUUUACCAGGGACGAAGGACGUGACGGUACCUGGAGAAAAAGCAACGGCUAACUACGUGCCAGCAGCCGCGGUAAUACGUAGGUUGCAAGCGUUGUCCGGAUUUACUGGGUGUAAAGGGCGUGUAGGCGGAGAUGCAAGUUAGGAGUGAAAUCUAUGGGCUCAACCCAUAAACUGCUUCUAAAACUGUAUCCCUUGAGUAUCGGAGAGGCAAGCGGAAUUCCUAGUGUAGCGGUGAAAUGCGUAGAUAUUAGGAGGAACACCAGUGGCGAAGGCGGCUUGCUGGACGACAACUGACGCUGAGGCGCGAAAGCGUGGGGAGCAAACAGGAUUAGAUACCCUGGUAGUCCACGCUGUAAACGAUGAAUACUAGGUGUGGGGGGACUGACCCCCUCCGUGCCGCAGUUAACACAAUAAGUAUUCCACCUGGGGAGUACGACCGCAAGGUUGAAACUCAAAGGAAUUGACGGGGGCCCGCACAAGCAGUGGAUUAUGUGGUUUAAUUCGACGCAACGCGAAGAACCUUACCAGGACUUGACAUCCAACUAACGAAGUAGAGAUACAUCAGGUGCCCUUCGGGGAAAGUUGAGACAGGUGGUGCAUGGUUGUCGUCAGCUCGUGUCGUGAGAUGUUGGGUUAAGUCCCGCAACGAGCGCAACCCCUAUUGUUAGUUGCUACGAAAGAGCACUCUAGCGAGACUGCCGUUGACAAAACGGAGGAAGGCGGGGACGACGUCAAAUCAUCAUGCCCCUUAUGUCCUGGGCUACACACGUAAUACAAUGGUGGCCAACAGAGGGAAGCGAAGCCGUGAGGCAGAGCAAAUCCCUAAAAGCCAUCUCAGUUCGGAUUGCAGGCUGCAACUCGCCUGCAUGAAGCUGGAAUUGCUAGUAAUCGCGGAUCAGCAUGCCGCGGUGAAUACGUUCCCGGGCCUUGUACACACCGCCCGUCACACCAUGAGAGUCGGGAACACCCGAAGUCCGUAGUCUAACCGCAAGGGGGGCGCGGCCGAAGGUGGGUCCGGUAAUUGGGGUGAAGUCGUAACAAGGUA
rnacentral:rRNA from 1 species